rnacentral:rRNA from 1 species
UACGUAGGUCCCGAGCAUUGUCCGGAUUUACUGGGCGUAAAGGGAGCGUAGGCGGACUUUUAAGUGAGAUGUGAAAUACUCGGGCUCAACUUGAGUGCUGCAUUUCAAACUGGAAGUCUAGAGUGCAGGAGAGGAGAAUGGAAUUCCUAGUGUAGCGGUGAAAUGCGUAGAGAUUAGGAAGAACACCAGUGGCGAAGGCGAUUCUCUGGACUGUAACUGACGCUGAGGCUCGAAAGCGUGGGGAGCAAACAGG